GUGCACCAGGCGCGAAACCUCCGCAAUGCGGGAAACCGCGACGGGGGACCCCGAGUGCCGUGGCAACGCCACGGCUUUUCCGGAGUGUAAAAAGCUCCGGGAAUAAGGGCUGGGCAAGGCCGGUGGCAGCCGCCGCGGUAAUACCGGCGGCCCGAGUGGUGGCCGCUAUUAUUGGGCCUAAAGCGUCCGUAGCCGGGCCCGUAAGUCCCUGGCGAAAUCCCACGGCUCAACCGUGGGGCUUGCUGGGGAUACUGCGGGUCUUGGGACCGGGAGAGGCGGGGGGUACCCCUGGGGUAGGGGUGGAAAGUCCUAUAAUCCCAGGGGGACCGCCAGUGGCGAAGGCGCCCCGCUGGAACGGGUCCGACGGUGAGGGACGAAGGCCAGGGGGA
rnacentral:rRNA from 1 species